rnacentral:rRNA from 2 species
CCGAACCGACUAAUGUUGAAAAAUUAGCGGAUGACCUGUGGCUGGGGGUGAAAGGCCAAUCAAACCGGGAGAUAGCUGGUUCUCCCCGAAAGCUAUUUAGGUAGCGCCUCGUGAAUUCAUCUCCGGGGGUAGAGCACUGUUUCGGCUAGGGGGCCAUCCCGGCUUACCAACCCGAUGCAAACUGCGAAUACCGGAGAAUGUUAUCACGGGAGACACACGGCGGGUGCUAACGUCCGUCGUGAAGAGGGAAACAACCCAGACCGCCAGCUAAGGUCCCAAAGUCAUGGUUAAGUGGGAAACGAUGUGGGAAGGCCCAGACAGCCAGGAUGUUGGCUUAGAAGCAGCCAUCAUUUAAAGAAAGCGUAAUAGCUCACUGGUCGAGUCGGCCUGCGCGGAAGAUGUAACGGGGCUAAACCAUGCACCGAAGCUGCGGCAGCGACACUGUGUGUUGUUGGGUAGGGGAGCGUUCUGUAAGCCUGUGAAGGUGUGUCGUG